GAUGAAGAACGUAGCGAAAUGCGAUAACUAAUGUGAAUUGCUGAAUUCAGUGAAUCAUCGAGUCUUUGAACGCACAUUGCGCCCCCUGGUAUUCCGGGGGGCAUGCCUGUCCGAGCGUCAUUGCUGCCCUCAAGCACGGCUUGUGUGUUGGGCUCCGUCCCCCCGGGGACGGGCCCGAAAGGCAGCGGCGGCACCGAGUCCGGUCCUCGAGCGUAUGGGGCUUUGUCACCCGCUCUGUAGGCCCGGCCGGCGCCAGCCGACAACCCAUCAUCCUUUUCAGGUUGACCUCGGAUCAGGUAGGGAUACCCGCUGAACUUAAGCAUAUCAAUAAGCGGAGGA
rnacentral:misc_RNA from 1 species